rnacentral:rRNA from 1 species
AACGAACGCUGGCGGCGUGGAUAAGACAUGCAAGUCGAACGGGACAAGUAGCAAUAUUUGUCUAGUGGCGAACGGGUGCGUAACACGUGGGCAACAUGCCUGGAAGAGCGGGAUAGUCCGGGGAAACUCGGACUAAUACCGCCUGUGACAACGGGGCGGAUUCGCCCUGUUUUCAAAGGUGGGGACCGCAAGGCCUGCCGCUUCCAGAUUGGCCCGCGUCCGAUCAGCUAGUUGGCGGGGUAACGGCCCACCAAGGCGACGACGGGUAGCUGGUCUGAGAGGACGACCAGCCACACUGGAACUGAGACACGGUCCAGACACCUACGGGUGGCAGCAGUCGAGAAUCUUUCACAAUGGGGGAAACCCUGAUGGAGCGACGCCGCGUGGAGGAUGACGGUCUUCGGAUUGUAAACUCCUGUCAUGAAAGAACAAGCGGAGCGGGUGAACAGCCCGCCGAGUUGAUAGUAUUUCAAGAGGAAGGGACGGCUAACUUCGUGCCAGCCGCCGCCGUAAAAC